rnacentral:rRNA from 1 species
CGCUGGCGGCGUGCCUAAUACAUGCAAGUCGAACGGUCUUUCUAUGGAAGCUUGCUUCCACUGAGAAGAUAGUGGCGGACGGGUGAGUAACACGUGGGUAACCUGCCCAUAAGAGGGGGAUAACAUCCGGAAACGGGUGCUAAUACCGCAUAGUUUUCUUGAUCGCAUGAUUGAGAAAGGAAAGACGGCCUUUGUGCUGUCGCUUAUGGAUGGACCCGCGGCGUAUUAGUUAGUUGGUGAGGUAAUGGCUCACCAAGACGAUGAUACGUAGCCGACCUGAGAGGGUGAUCGGCCACAUUGGGACUGAGACACGGCCCAAACUCCUACGGGAGGCAGCAGUAGGGAAUCUUCCGCAAUGGACGAAAGUCUGACGGAGCAACGCCGCGUGAGUGAAGAAGGUUUUCGGGAAUCGUAAAACUCUGUUGUCAGAGAAGAACAAGUUGGAGAGUAACUGCUCCAGUCUUGACGGUAUCUGACCAGAAAGCCACGGCUAACUACGUGCCAGCAGCUGC